AUUGAACGCUGGCGGCAGGCCUAACACAUGCAAGUCGAGCGGAUGAAGGGAGCUUGCUCUCUGAUUCAGCGGCGGACGGGUGAGUAAUGCCUAGGAAUCUGCCUGGUAGUGGGGGACAACGUUUCGAAAGGAACGCUAAUACCGCAUACGUCCUACGGGAGAAAGUGGGGGAUCUUCGGACCUCACGCUAUCAGAUGAGCCUAGGUACGAUUAGCUAGUUGGUGAGGUAAAGGCGCACCAAGGCGACGAUCGUUAACUGGUCUGAGAGGAUGAUCAGUCACACUGGAACUGAGACACGGUCCAGACUCCUACGGGAGGCAGCAGUGGGGAAUAUUGGACAAUGGGCGAAAGCCUGAUCCAGCCAUGCCGCGUGUGUGAAGAAGGUCUUCGGAUUGUAAAGCACUUUAAGUUGGGAGGAAGGGCAGUAAGUUAAUACCUUGCUGUUUUGACGUUACCGACAGAAUAAGCACCGGCUAACUUCGUGCCAGCAGCCGCCGUAAUAC
rnacentral:rRNA from 1 species